rnacentral:rRNA from 1 species
UACAGAGGGUGCAAGCGUUGUUCGGAAUUACUGGGCGUAAAGCGCGCGUAGGCGGUUAUCUAAGUCGGAUGUGAAAGCCCUCGGCUUAACUGAGGAAGUGCACCCGAAACUGGAUAGCUAGAGUACGAAAGAGGGUCGCGGAAUUCCCGGUGUAGAGGUGAAAUUCGUAGAUAUCGGGAGGAACACCGGUGGCGAAGGCGGCGACCUGGGUCGAGACUGACGCUGAGGCGCGAAAGCGUGGGGAGCAAACAGG